GAUGAAGAACGCAGCGAAAUGCGAUACGUAAUGUGAAUUGCAGAUCUCUCAGUGAACCAUCGAAUUUUUGAACGCACAUUGCGCCCCCUGGUAUUCCGGGGGGCAUGCCUGUCCGAGCGUCAUUGCUGCCCUCAAGCACGGCUUGUGUGUUGGGCCUCCGUCCUCCUCCCGGGGGACGGGCCCGAAAGGCAGCGGCGGCACCGCGUCCGGUCCUCGAGCGUAUGGGGCUUCGUCACCCGCUCUUGUAGGCCCGGCCGGCGCUUGCCGACACAUCAAUCUUUUUUCCAGGUUGACCUCGGAUCAGGUAGGGAUACCCGCUGAACUUAAGCAUAUCAAUAAGCGGAGGA
rnacentral:misc_RNA from 1 species